rnacentral:rRNA from 1 species
CGGUGAACGGGCUUGGCCGGGGAUAGUGGUGAACGGGUGCGUAACAGUGGGCAACUGCCCUCACUCUGGGAUACCCGGGAAACGGAGCUAUACGGAUACUCCGACCGGUCCGCAUGGUCUGGUCGGGAAAAGUCCGCUGGUGAGGGAUGGGCCCGCG